GUGAAAAAUGUCAGUGAUCAAUGAUCAGCGUUUCCCAAAAGCCCAAGACGACGUCCUCAAAUGUCUUGUUUUGUCCACAACCCAAAGGUAUUCAGUUGACUGUCACAGAGGGGAGAAGAAACUAGAAGAUAUUCACAUUUAACAAGCUGGAAUCAGAGAAGUUUUACUUUUUACUCAAACAGAUU